GAUGAACGCUGGCGGCGUGCCUAAUACAUGCAAGUAGAACGCUGAAGCUUGGUGCUUGCACCGAGCGGAUGAGUUGCGAACGGGUGAGUAACGCGUAGGUAACCUGCCUCUUAGCGGGGGAUAACUAUUGGAAACGAUAGCUAAUACCGCAUAAAAGUCGACAUUGCAUGAUGUUGACUUGAAAGGUGCAAUUGCAUCACUAAGAGAUGGACCUGCGUUGUAUUAGCUAGUUGGUGAGGUGACGGCUCACCAAGGCAACGAUACAUAGCCGACCUGAGAGGGUGAUCGGCCACACUGGGACUGAGACACGGCCCAGACUCCUACGGGAGGCAGCAGUAGGGAAUCUUCGGCAAUGGGGGCAACCCUGACCGAGCAACGCCGCGUGAGUGAAGAAGGUUUUCGGAUCGUAAAGCUCUGUUGUAAGAGAAGAACGAGUGUGAGAGUGGAAAGUUCACACUGUGACGGUAACUUACCAGAAAGGGACGGCUAACUACGUGCCAGCAGCCGCGGUAAUACGUAGGUCCCGAGCGUUAUCCGGAUUUAUUGGGCGUAAAGCGAGCGCAGGCGGUUAGAUAAGUCUGAAGUUAAAGGCUGUGGCUUAACCAUAGUACGCUUUGGAAACUGUUUAACUUGAGUGCAGAAGGGGAGAGUGGAAUUCCAUGUGUAGCGGUGAAAUGCGUAGAUAUAUGGAGGAACACCGGUGGCGAAAGCGGCUCUCUGGUCUGUAACUGACGCUGAGGCUCGAAAGCGUGGGGAGCAAACAGG
rnacentral:rRNA from 1 species